GGUUAAGUUAGAAAGGGCGCACGGUGAAUGCCUUGGCACUAGGAGCCGAUGAAGGACGGGACUAACACCGAUAUGCUUCGGGGAGCUGUAAGUGAGCUUUGAUCCGGAGAUUUCCGAAUGGGGAAACCCACUGUUCGUAAUGGAACAGUAUCUUUAUCUGAAUACAUAGGAUAUUGAAGGCAGACCCGGGGAACUGAAACAUCUAAGUACCCGGAGGAAGAGAAAGCAAAUGCGAUUUCCUGAGUAGCGGCGAGCGAAACGGAAUUAGCCCAAACCAAGAGGCUUGCCUCUUGGGGUUGUAGGACACUCUAUACGGAGUUACAAAGGAACGAAGUAAAUGAAGCGACCUGGAAAGGUCCGUCGAAGAAGGUAACAACCCUGUAGUUGAAACUUCGUUCCCUCUUGAGUGGAUCCUGAGUACGGCGGAACACGUGAAAUUCCGUCGGAAGCUGGGAGGACCAUCUCCCAAGGCUAAAUACUACCUAGUGACCGAUAGUGAACCAGUACCGUGAGGGAAAGGUGAAAAGCACCCCGGAAGGGGAGUGAAAGAGAUCCUGAAACCGUGUGCCUACAAGUAGUCAGAGCCCGUUAACGGGUGAUGGCGUGCCUUUUGUAGAAUGAACCGGCGAGUUACGAUCCCAUGCAAGGUUAAGCUGAUAAGGCGGAGCCGUAGCGAAAGCGAGUCUGAAUAGGGCGUUUAGUAUGUGGUUGUAGACCCGAAACCAGGUGAUCUACCCAUGUCCAGGGUGAAGUUCAGGUAACACUGAAUGGAGGCCCGAACCCACGCACGUUGAAAAGUGCGGGGAUGAGGUGUGGGUAGCGGAGAAAUUCCAAUCGAACCUGGAGAUAGCUGGUUCUCUCCGAAAUAGCUUUAGGGCUAGCCUCAUGUUGUGAGAGUCUUGGAGGUAGAGCACUGAUUGGACUAGGGGCCCCCAACGGGUUACCGAAUUCAGUCAAACUCCGAAUGCCAAAGACUUAUCCAUGGGAGUCAGACUGCGAGUGAUAAGAUCCGUAGUCAAAAGGGAAACAGCCCAGACCACCAGCUAAGGUCCCCAAGUAUACGUUAAGUGGAAAAGGAUGUGGAGUUGCUUAGACAACCAGGAUGUUGGCUUAGAAGCAGCCACCAUUUAAAGAGUGCGUAAUAGCUCACUGGUCGAGUGACUCUGCGCCGAAAAUGUACCGGGGCUAAACGUAUCACCGAAGCUGUGGAUUGACAUCUUUGAUGUCAGUGGUAGGAGAGCGUUCUAAGUGCUGUGAAGUCAGACCGUAAGGACUGGUGGAGCGCUUAGAAGUGAGAAUGCCGGUAUGAGUAGCGAAAGACAAGUGAGAAUCUUGUCCACCGAAUGCCUAAGGUUUCCUGAGGAAGGCUCGUCCGCUCAGGGUUAGUCGGGACCUAAGCCGAGGCUGAAAAGCGUAGGCGAUGGCCAACAGGUUGAUAUUCCUGUACCACCUCCCCGCCGUUUGAGUAAUGGGGGGACGCAGUAGGAUAGGGUAAGCGCGCUGCUGGAUAUGCGCGUUCAAGCAGUUAGGCCGAUGAGUAGGCAAAUCCGCUCAUCAUAAAGGCUGAGCUGUGAUGACGAGGGAAUUAUAGUACCGAAGUUCCUGAUUCCACACUGCCAAGAAAAGCCUCUAGCGAGGCGGGAGGUGCCCGUACCGCAAACCGACACAGGUAGGCGAGGAGAGAAUCCUAAGGUGAUCGAGAGAACUCUCGUUAAGGAACUCGGCAAAAUGACCCCGUAACUUCGGGAGAAGGGGUGCUCUGGUAGGGUGUAUAGCCCGAGAGAGCCGCAGUGAAUAGGCCCAGGCGACUGUUUAGCAAAAACACAGGUCUCUGCGAAGCCGCAAGGCGAAGUAUAGGGGCUGACGCCUGCCCGGUGCUGGAAGGUUAAGAGGAGGGGUUAUCCUUUGGGAGAAGCUCUGAAUCGAAGCCCCAGUAAACGGCGGCCGUAACUAUAACGGUCCUAAGGUAGCGAAAUUCCUUGUCGGGUAAGUUCCGACCCGCACGAAAGGCGUAACGAUCUGGGCACUGUCUCAACGAGAGACUCGGUGAAAUUAUAGUACCUGUGAAGAUGCAGGUUACCCGCGACAGGACGGAAAGACCCCGUGGAGCUUUACUGUAGCCUGAUAUUGAAUUUUGGUACAGCUUGUACAGGAUAGGUAGGAGCCUGAGAAGCCGGAGCGCUAGCUUCGGUGGAGGCGUCGGUGGGAUACUACCCUGGCUGUAUUGAAAUUCUAACCCGCGGCCCUGAUCGGGCCGGGAGACAGUGUCAGGUGGGCAGUUUGACUGGGGCGGUCGCCUCCUAAAAUGUAACGGAGGCGCCCAAAGGUUCCCUCAGAAUGGUUGGAAAUCAUUCGUAGAGUGUAAAGGCACAAGGGAGCUUGACUGCGAGACCUACAAGUCGAGCAGGGACGAAAGUCGGGCUUAGUGAUCCGGUGGUUCCGCAUGGAAGGGCCAUCGCUCAACGGAUAAAAGCUACCCCGGGGAUAACAGGCUUAUCUCCCCCAAGAGUCCACAUCGACGGGGAGGUUUGGCACCUCGAUGUCGGCUCAUCGCAUCCUGGGGCUGUAGUCGGUCCCAAGGGUUGGGCUGUUCGCCCAUUAAAGCGGUACGCGAGCUGGGUUCAGAACGUCGUGAGACAGUUCGGUCCCUAUCCGUCGUGGGCGUAGGAAAUUUGAGAGGAGCUGUCCUUAGUACGAGAGGACCGGGAUGGACACACCGCUGGUGUACCAGUUGUCUUGCCAAAGGCAUCGCUGGGUAGCUAUGUGUGGACGGGAUAAGUGCUGAAAGCAUCUAAGCAUGAAGCCCCCCUCAAGAUGAGAUUUCCCAUAGCGCAAGCUAGUAAGAUCCCUGAAAGAUGAUCAGGUUGAUAGGUCAGAGGUGGAAGCGUGGCGACAUGUGUAGCUGACUGAUACUAAUCGAUCGAGGACUUAACCAA
rnacentral:rRNA from 1 species